rnacentral:rRNA from 1 species
CGCAGCCGCGGUAAUUCCAGCUCCAAUAGCGUAUAUUAAAGUUGUUGCAGUUAAAAAGCUCGUAGUUGAAUUUCGGGAUCAAUACGUCUGUCGUGCCUUCGGUACGUACGGGUGUAAUUGGUUUCUACCUUCUGAGGAUCCUUGAUGUCAUUAAUUUGGUGUCUUGGGGAAUCAGGACUGUUACCUUGAAAAAUUAGAGUGUUUAAAGCAGGCAUACGCUUGAAUACAUUAGCAUGGAAUAAUGAAAUAGGACGUUCGAUUCUAUUUUGUUGGUUUCUAGGAUCGACGUAAUGAUUAAUAGGGAUAGUUGGGGGCAUUAGUAUUCAAUUGUCAGAGGUGAAAUUCUUGGAUUUAUUGAAGACUAACUACUGCGAAAGCAUUUGCCAAGGAUGUUUUCAUUAAUCAAGAACGAAAGUUAGGGGAUCGAAGACGAUCAGAUACCGUCGUAGUCUUAACCAUAAACUAUGCCGACUAGGGAUCGGAUGAUGUUAAUUUUUAAUGUACUCAGUUCCGGCGUCCU